rnacentral:rRNA from 1 species
AGCAUGGUCUUAGCUUGCUAAGGCCGAUGGCGACCGGCGCACGGGUGAGUAACACGUAUCCCACCUGCCGUCUACUCUUGGACAGCCUUCUGAAAGGAAGAUUAAUACAAGAUGGCAUCAUGAGUCCGCAUGUUCACAUGAUUAAAGGUAUUCCGGUAGACGAUGGGGAUGCGUUCCAUUAGAUAGUAGGCGGGGUAACGGCCCACCUAGUCUUCGAUGGAUAGGGGUUCUGAGAGGAAGGUCCCCCACAUUGGAACUGAGACACGGUCCAAACUCCUACGGGAGGCAGCAGUGAGGAAUAUUGGUCAAUGGGCGAGAGCCUGAACCAGCCAAGUAGCGUGAAGGAUGACUGCCCUAUGGGUUGUAAACUUCUUUUAUACGGGAAUAAAGUGGAGUAUGCAUACUCCUUUGUAUGUACCGUAUGAAUAAGGAUCGGCUAACUCCGUGCCAGCAGCCGCGGUAAUACGGAGGAUCCGAGCGUUAUCCGGAUUUAUUGGGUUUAAAGGGAGCGUAGGCGGGUGCUUAAGUCAGUUGUGAAAGUUUGCGGCUCAACCGUAAAAUUGCAGUUGAUACUGGGUACCUUGAGUGCAGCAUAGGUAGGCGGAAUUCGUGGUGUAGCGGUGAAAUGCUUAGAUAUCACGAAGAACUCCGAUUG